rnacentral:rRNA from 1 species
UACAGGGAGGGGCAAGCGUUAUUCGGAAUUAUUGGGCGUAAAGGGCGCGUAGGCGGCUUGGCAAGUGGAAGGAUGAAAUCCCUCGGCUUAACCGAGGAAGCUGCCCUCCAAACUGCUUCGCUUGAGACCGGGAGAGGUGAGUGGAAUUCCCAGUGUAGCGGUGAAAUGCGUAGAUAUUGGGAGGAACACCAGUGGCGAAGGCGGACUCACUGGACCGGUACGUAGACGCUGAUGCGCGAAAGCGUGGGGAAGCAAACGGGG